rnacentral:tRNA from 1 species
GAUGCGGUCGCCGAGGUGGUUCAGGCGCUUGCCCGCAAGGUAAGAGACGUAGGUUCAAGUCCUGCCCGCAUCUCCA